rnacentral:rRNA from 1 species
GACGAACGCUGGCGGCGUGCCUAAUACAUGCAAGUAGAACGCUGAAACUUGGUGCUUGCACCGAGCGGAUGAGUUGCGCACGGGUGAGUAACGCGUAGGUAACCUGCCUGGUAGCGGGGGAUAACUAUUGGAAACGAUAGCUAAUACCGCAUAAGAGUAGAUGUUGCAUGACAUUUGCUUAAAAGGUGCAAUUGCACCACUACCAGAUGGACCUGCGUUGUAUUAGCUAGUUGGUGGGGUAACGGCUCACCAAGGCGACGAUACAUAGCCGACCUGAGAGGGUGAUCGGCCACACUGGGACUGAGACACGGCCCAGACUCCUACGGGAGGCAGCAGUAGGGAAUCUUCGGCAAUGGACGGAAGUCUGACCGAGCAACGCCGCGUGAGUGAAGAAGGGUUUCGGAUCGUAAAGCUCUGUUGUAAGAGAAGAACGAGUGUGAGAGUGGAAAGUUCACACUGUGACGGUAUCUUACCAGAAAGGGACGGCUAACUACGUG